rnacentral:rRNA from 1 species
CCUACGGGUGGCAGCAGUGGGGAAUAUUGGUCAAUGGGCGCAAGCCUGAACCAGCAAUGCCGCGUGAGUGAUGAAGGCCUUCGGGUUGUAAAGCUCUGUCGGGAGGGACGCGGUACCUCCAAAGGAAGCACCGGCUAACUCUGUGCCAGCAGCCGCGGUAAUACAGAGGGUGCAAGCGUUGUUCGGAAUUACUGGGCGUAAAGCGCGUGUAGGCUGCGGUGUAAGUUGGACGUGAAAGCCCUUGGCUUAACCAAGGAAGUGCAUCCAAUACUGCGUCGCUUGAGUGUCGGAGGGGGCGGCGGAAUUCCCGGUGUAGAGGUGAAAUUCGUAGAUAUCGGGAGGAACACCUGUGGCGAAGGCGGCCGCCUGGACAUACUGACGCUGAGACGCGAAAGCGUGGGUAGCAAACAGGAUUAGAUACCCUUGUAGUC